CCUACGGGCGGCAGCAGUGAGGAAUAUUGGUCAAUGGGCGCGAGCCUGAACCAGCCACGUCGCGUGAGGGAAGACGGUCCUCUGGAUUGUAACUCUCUUUUGUCGGGGAGAAAACGACGCCACGCGUGGCGUUUCGAGAGUACCCGCAGAAACAGCAUCGGCUAACUCCGUGCCUGCAGCCGCGGUAAUACGGAGGAUGCGAGCGUUAUCCGGAUUUAUUGCGUUUAAAGGUUGCGCAGGCGGAAGAUCAAGUCAGUGUUAAAAUUGAGGGAUUAACCCUCUUCGAGCCUUUGAAACUGGUUUUCUUGAGUGAGCGAGAGGUAGGCGGAAUGCGUGGUGUAGCGGUGAAAUGCAUAGAUAUCACGAAGAACUCCGAUGGCGAAGGCAGCAUACGGGCGCGCAACUGACGCUCAUGCACGAAAGUGUGGGUAGCGAACAGGAUUAGAUACCCCAGUAGUC
rnacentral:rRNA from 1 species